GUGGGUGUGAAGGUCUUCGGAUCGUAAAGCUCUGUUGUUAGGGAAGAACAAAUGUGUAAGUAACUGUGCACAUCUUGACGGUACCUAACCAGAAAGCCACGGCUAACUACGUGCCAGCAGCCGCGGUAAUACGUAGGUGGCAAGCGUUAUCCGGAAUUAUUGGGCGUAAAGCGCGCGUAGGCGGUUUUUUAAGUCUGAUGUGAAAGCCCACGGCUCAACCGUGGAGGGUCAUUGGAAACUGGAAAACUUGAGUGCAGAAGAGGAAAGUGGAAUUCCAUGUGUAGCGGUGAAAUGCGCAGAGAUAUGGAGGAACCCCAGUGGCUGCAGAC
rnacentral:rRNA from 1 species